CGAGGCGGGGAGCGAGGAGGGCGGGGCCGCCGGCGGAGCGGAGGGGCCAUGGCCCUGGGCUGGAGGGAAGUGUUCAUAAGGAACGUACUGAAACGUCUCUAUCCUGAAACUUCAUCAUCUCUUGUGCAUACUUCGAGUGGAAAGGAGGAGGUGGUUCUCAGAAAUCCGGGCUCAAAAUCCGGAGAGAAGGACUUGGAAAAUGUUCAGACUCUGUCAGCAGCUGCCAGUACAUCAAGUGAUGCACCCAGCAAAUCAUUUCAAGGUAAUGACAAUACAGUUCUGCCUCCAAGGAGAAUGUACACAGUGAAUCUUCCUCCUGAGGGUUAUGUUGCAGUUACUCAAGAUACUAAUAGUAUUUCAGUUUCUGAAAACUCGGAGGAUAGUGCUGACUCUACAGAGGAGUAUCAAGGACAAACCAAGAGAAAACGCAUUCGAAGGAAGAAACAAAAGAACAGUUUGCAAAACUCUAAUAAUCUACAUGGAGAACAAACAGAAUCCGGAAUGCAAGAGACUCUUGUUCAAGAUAAUUUACAGCUGCAGCAGAUAGACAGCCCCAAAAUAAGCAAAAACAAAAAGAGGAAAAUGAAAAAGAAGCGACAGAAAGAAAAAAUGAGAGCAGCUGGCUUGCUAACAAAAAAUACUGGUGUGGAUUUUACAUAUCAGCCUGACAAAAACAACAGAGAAGGAGCAGCAGACUUAAAAGACAUAGAUGAAAAGGCAGAUAGCAUCCUGGAUUUCUUGCAGGCAACACAACAAAUUUAUUUUGCUGACAAUAAAUCAGAAUGCAUGGAUUCUGCUGUAAAUUCAGCAACUACCCAAGAACUUUUACAACAUCUUGAAUCUCGCAACAUAUCUUCCUCAGAUGUGACCCGUCUACAUCAGCUGAAAUCCCUUGUAUUGCUACAGGAUAUUGACAGACUGAAGGAUGCUUUGAAACAAUUCCAAGAACAUUCCAUAAUGCCUCCUGAUCAUACCAAGACAGUCAUUACUCUGUUUCACUACUGGAUUACAGAUAUCCUUCCUGUGAGGAACAGGAAAUAAAGCCUUGCCUGUGUCCAUAUGUGCAGGGUUAAAAUUUAAUAUACAAGCUCUUAAACAAGUAGCAAUUAUUCAGGAAGAACAGUGUCAAUAUAUGUUCUACACCUUCAGUAAAUUGAUAGAUUGAUGGAGGUUAAGGCUGAAAAGGACAGGAGAUUAUCUUCUAUGACCCCAUCUGCAUAUCAGGCCAUAAAUUUUCCUUUUACUUCAGGGUGGAGACCAGUAACUUGACUCUGACAAAAGCACAAUUUGUUUUUUUGGCUAAAGGAAGUCUUGUGCAGAGACAGGCAAGCUUGAUUUAAAGACAUCAAGAAAUGAAGACUUAGCCUCCUUGGUCAUUUAUUUCAGUACCCAGUCACUCUCACCGUUAGAAACCUGUGUUAUUUUUUAUUUGAAUUUGUCUAGAUUUAACUUUCAACCAUUAGUUCUUGGUAUGCUUUUCUACACUAGAUUAAAAUAGUCCCUCACUAGCCAGUAUUUUGUCUGUAAAAGCAUUUGAACACUGUAAUCAAGCUACAAGGCAACCUCCUUUUUGGUAACCUGAGAGGAUUGUCUCUUUAAAUUACUUGCUUUAAGGCAUUUUCUACGGUCUUCAAAUCAUUUUUAUGGCUCUCUUCCACAUUGUCUCCUUUUUUUUUACAUCACUUAGAGAACAAGUGUGUGUGAACUGCACACAGAAUUUCAUUUAAAAUCUCAGCAGUGCCAACUUUCUCCAUUGUUUAUAUCCACUUUUUGCCAUAGGAUUGUGUAGAGAGUCCAUGUUGAAUUAUUUGCCAUGCUAGACAAGUACCCAUCUUGAAAUUUAUUGCUUUCUAGGAUAAAGUCCCUGGUUCUGUCCUUCUUGUUCUGACCUUUUUGUGGUCAUAUCAAGUGUCUGACCUUUUGUGUCGUCAUAUCAACAUUAAUUUUCUUUGACUGUGUCUAAAUUAGUAAAUGAUAGAUUGCUUUGUGUGCCUGUACUGCUUUCAUUAAUGCCUACUAUCUGAUAAUCUUGGUGUCAUCUGCAAAUUUUACCAGCAAUGAUUAUGUUUUCUUACAGAUCAUUAAUAAAAAAUUCUGAACAGUGUUGAAUCUAGUACAACUCUUUAUGGGAUCCAAAGAGAAAUAACAUAAUCCAGUCACGAUGCCGUAUUUCUUCCUUCUUUUUGAAAACUGAACACAGACCAACUGAUUUCUAAUGUAUUUAACAUGCACUUUAUUGUCUUGUACGCUUUUUUUCUUUUGAUCAGAAAGUCAUGUGGCACUGGGUAACUCCACAGGAGUCUAAAUAGCACAAUGUGUAAUGACUGAUGCUCCCAACAAGUGUUUCUUCAUUUUUCUGCAAGAGCAAGUGUUAUUUUUUUAUAGGUAAGGAUAAGAGUCCAAACUAAAGACACAUUACAAAAAUAUGUAAGUCUUUGUUUUUAAAGUAUGUUUAAGGGGAAGCAGAAUACGUGAAAAGUGUUCACUUAAAUAGCCUUUCAACUUCGUCUUAUGUGUUUAUUUUGAAUUUGCUGCUCUGCAGGGAAUGGUUUGUGUUAGUUAAGAACGUUUAUUCUGAAAGAUCCCUUGUUUUUAAACAUCAAAGGAAAUUUUGUAGCUGUUUCUCUUCCUGCGAUAUGUGAUCCAUAACUUUAGUUCUGUCACCAAAAUGCAAUGCGCUGUUGUGAUUCCAGUAUUCUCUGUGUUCAACAAGACAAUCCCAUGAUGGUGUCUAGUGUAUAUAUUAUUGGUUGUGUUGCAGCUGGUAAUUGAGGGAAGAUCCCUGCAAAAAGCACAUUAUCUACUGAUGAAAAAUAUGAUUUGAGACUUAGAAAUUUGCGUGGGAAGUAGCAUUCAUAGUUUUAUAGUGGGGCAUAAAAAUUUUCAAGUUUUUACAGAAGCAGUUCUCUGAGCAGAUUUCCGGGGACAUAGCACAGACCUUUAACUCUCAGUGUUAGCAUUAACUACCUAAACAUUGUCUACACCCUCAUCGAUUGUUGGACACCAGUGUGAGGAUUCAUCAGAGACAUUCAUCUAACGUCUUAUCUCCCAGCUUCUACUGCUCAUGGAAUGCCCAGUUGCAGAGGAGAGGCAAUUGGUAUCAUGAAUCAAAAUGCGGGCUGCAUUAACAUUUUCUGCUGGAGCUAGAAACAGCAUAGAGAAAUCCCAGUUACUCUGUCCAGAGCUGUCACAGGCCAGAAGGAUGCAGGAGCAAAUACUCAGGAAGAUCCUUAUACGAGAUUGAGCUGCCUGUGGGAUUCCCACUUCAGUGCAAUGGUUCAUCACCCUCGUGGCUCCCUUUAGUCAAGGCUGUAUCACAGGCUGGCCCCAAAGCUGCACAGUGGAAACACAGCGGAGUAAUAACAGCAUAGCAGCACAGCAACCAGCAAAGUCACAGUAAGGCCAAUUAGCACCAGCACUAAACAUGAAAGGAAACAACUUAUAACUCGUACCACCCCAGCACCAGCUGCAGGAGCCUGCAGUUAGAAGGCAGAAUUAAAUGUUUUGUACCAGAAACUG